rnacentral:lncRNA from 1 species
UUUUCACCACCUGCGCUUCCUCUUUCCUUCUACUAGAGCGAAAACAAAAAUGGCGGAAUCUUCACAGCCUACUGCCACCCCAGCCAAUCCACCGGAGCAACGCCAAUUGCAAGUAGCCCUACCUGUCCCCGUCCACCAGUUUUCCGGUAACUUUCGCUAUUAUGCUUCUGUUCAAGAAAUAUCUCUGCUCUCUCUCUCUCUCUCUCUCUCUCUCUCGGUAGUGAGAUACCGUAGGCAGGAGAUACGGUUGAGGUGAUUUCUACGAUUAGGGAUUCUACUGCUUUUCCGAACUAUAUCUGCAAAACUAGAGCAACCCUUUAGGUAUUUUUCCGGCCAGGAACAUUGAUUAUGCUGAAUCAAGCUACACUAUUGGAUCAGAGGAUUCUUGAAGUAGUUUUGCAGCUUGAUAUCUUCUAUGUAUAAUAGUAUAAUUACCUUUUAUCUGAACUGUGAUGCAUAAUUAGCUAAUAUGUGCAAGCAAUUGCUUAGGGUGCGGUUUGAAAAUAAAGUUUCUGCACGAUAAUGUCUAGUAGAAGGAUUCCUCAGUCGUUGAUUGUUGUAUGUUCCCAUAGGCGUACUCCUAUGAUAUGAUAUCAUGUAUAAGCUAGCGUAAACGCAAAUUGGUUGUUGCAGUGAUUCUAUUGUAUCUGCAACUGAUGUUGAAAUAUAUUACACUAAUGUUGCCACUGCUCUUAGAGUCUGAGAGUGAUGACUCGGACUCAGACGAAGAAGAAAAUGCUCAAGAACCACUCUGAUUCAGAGGCUAGUGGCAUGACGGUAGAUAGCAGACCUGCUAAGAGGCCGCGUCAUGUGCAAGUUGAGGGUGCUGUGACUAGUAUAAGCAGGGAGCUUUCUGAAUCGGGGCAUUCGAUAGAAACGAUGGUUGGGUUGACACAAUGGUGAACAAGGUGACUGGUGAAGAAGAUGAAGAAAGUGUUAACAUGAGAGCCUCUGUGAUGGACGAUGUGGGGAAGCUACCAGGACUAAGUUGGCGGCAGGUUAUUGAAGGAGCUGCUGCAAUCUCUGUAGCCGAUGAUAACAGGUGGUUGAAGCUCUUUUACAGGUUGAAGAACGACGACGAUCGGUCUUAUUUCGUCAUGAGACUGUUGAAGGAUAAGAUGUGUAGAAGAUGAUGGAAAGCUCACUUUUUGAACAAUGUACAUUUUGUUAGGUAACUACUGUGUAGCUACUAGUGAUAUGCCCAUAUGAAUCCAACAAUUCAAUUUGUUUUAUUAUAUAGAAACUACCAUAUGUAGUUUCAUCAUAGAAAAUACAUCGUAGAACCGUAGUAGUAGUGAA